AAAAAAAAAAAAAAACAAAACGUUUCUUUGGUGCCUAAAACCCUACUAGCCAACUAACACAGAAUUUAGGACACAAACCCUCUGAAACCCAUAAAUUUGAACUUCUUGGAACAGAACAGAAGCAAAAAUGGGGAAGAAGAAGGGUCAGUCGGAGGAGAUACUGGAAACUCUAGGGGACUUCACCAGCAAAGAAAACUGGGACAAGUUCUUCACCAUCAGAGGAACCGGCGAUUCCUUCGAGUGGUACGCCGAGUGGGACGAGCUCAGGGACCCACUUCUCUCCCACCUCUCCGGCCCCAAUGGAACCCCACAGUCCGAAACGGCGUCGAUGCAGAUACUCGUACCGGGUUGUGGAAAUUCCCGGCUCUCCGAGCACGUCUACGAUGCCGGGUUCAAAACCAUCAUCAACAUUGAUUUCUCUAAGGUUGUCAUUUCCGACAUGUUGCGCCGGAAUGUGCGACAACGACCCGAUAUGCGGUGGCGGGUGAUGGACAUGACUGCCAUGCAGUUUGAGGAUGGGACUUUUGACGCUGUAGUUGAUAAAGGUGGAUUGGAUGCUUUGAUGGAGCCAGAGCUUGGGCCUAAGUUAGGGAAUCAAUAUCUUUCAGAGGUGAAAAGGGUUUUGAAAUUUGGUGGGAAAUUUAUUUGCCUUACCUUGUCCGAGACCCAUGUUCUAGGUUUGCUUUUCCCCAAAUUCCGGUUUGGAUGGAAAACGAGUAUUCAUGCCAUAACCCAGAAAGCUUCCACUAAGCCUGGCCUUCAAACAUUUAUGGUGGUUGCAGAGAAAGAAACAUCUACUACUUUAUUGAACCAGAUAACAACAGUAUUCAACAAUUCUUCUCUUGGUUGUGGUGAACAGGCUCGUGGGCUUGUUGAAGCUCUUGAAAUUGAGAAUAAAAUUCGUGCAGAGUACUCCAGUGGUUCUGAUAUAAUUCAUUCUAUUGAAGACCUGCAACUUGGAGCUAGAGGGGAUUUGGGAAAGCUUUCCCAAGGUCGGAGGUUGAAGGUUAAUUUGGGUGGACAGGGGGAUUCCCAUUUCGGUUAUAGAGCUGUACUUCUUGAUGCUCAAGAACAGUCUGGUCCUUUUGCAUAUCAUUGCGGGGUCUUCAUUGUACCUAUGACUCGAGCUCAUGAAUGGUUAUUCUCUUCUGAAGAAGGACAAUGGAUGCUAGUUGAAAGGUCAAAGGCAGCUCGUCUCAUAAUGGUUUUGCUGGAUUCUAGCCACAGUAAUGCAAGCAUGGAUGAUAUUCAGAAGGAUUUAUCUCCCCUGGUUAAACAGUUGGCGCCUGAAAAAGAUGGUGAUGGAGCUCAAAUUCCGUUCAUGAUGGCGGGUGAUGGGAUCAAACAGCGAAACAUUGUUCACCAGGUUACAUCUUCUGUAACUGGACCAAUAGUUGUCGAGGAUGUGGUUUAUGAAAAUGUUGAUGGUGAUGUCAGUCACGUUCUACCGUCCAAAGAGUUAAUAUUUCGCCGUCUUGUUUUUCAAAGAAGUGAAGGUCUUGUACAGUCCGAAGCUCUACUAACGAGGGAAGGAGAUUCUGAUAAAACCAUUAGUGGGAUAGAGAAGAAGAAGUCCAACUCAUCUUCAAAAUCUAAAAAAAGAGGAAGUCAGAGAAGAAAUGCUGAACCAAGCCACCAGCUGAUGGUCUAUCAUGGCUAUAUGGCUAGUUCUUAUCACACAGGGAUCCUGUCUGGGUUUGUGUUGAUUUCUUCUCAUAUGGAAAGUUUGGCAUCAGCUGGAAAAUCAGUUAAAGCAGCUAUAAUAGGUCUUGGAGCAGGUUUACUUCCUAUGUUUCUUCAUGGAUGUAUGCCCCUUUUACACAUUGAGGUGGUGGAAUUGGAUCCAACAGUCCUCAAUCUUGCAAAGGGCUACUUUGGUUUUACCGAAGAUGAACGUUUACAGGUGCAUAUUGCUGAUGGCAUUCAGUUUAUUAAAAACAUUGCAAAUUCUGCAUCGGCUAAUGAAAUGUCCCCUGUUCAAGUAAAUGAGCAUGCUUCCUCUAAAUCAGAGGCUGCUUCUUCCAAUGGAAGCAGUGUACUAUCCCAUGGAGAAGGCAAGGUGACUACAAAGGUUGACAUAGUUAUCAUUGAUGUAGACUCUGCAGACUCAAGCUCUGGGAUGACAUGUCCUGCUGCUGCUUUUGUGGAAGAGUCAUUUCUGCAUACUGUAAAGGAUGCCCUUUCUCAGAAAGGUUUAUUUGUUAUUAAUUUGGUUUCACGAUCCCAAGCCAUUAAAGAAAGUGUUAUUUCAAGGAUGAAAGAGGUGUUCGACCAUCUUUUCCGCCUUCAACUUGAAGAAGAUGUAAACGAAGUAAUCUUUGCUCUAUGUUCAGAGUCUUCUGUAAAAGAGGAUUGCUUCACUGAAGCUGCUUGUAAGCUUGAGAAACUGUUGAAAUUGAAACACCCUGAGAUUAGCCGAAGUGUCAUAGAUACUACAAAGAAGAUCAGAUGUUUGAAGUGAGUUAUAGCCUAUUGAAGUAAUCUGUCUUCCUCAUUGAAAUUUUUAUACCAGUUCAAUCUGUGGGGGUGCAAGCUUUUCUCAUAGUUUGUUGAACAAGAAAAUAUCAACAAACUCGGUCACCCGCUGUGGUGGCACAACCAUACAUGGUGAAAGGUGGUGCAAGGGCGUGUGCACGUGCAGAAUUUGUUAAAGGAUGUGCUUCAGAUGCUUCAGAUCUCUGAAAUCAUUUUUUCCAACCACGGUUCGCAUCAAGUUGCACACAUAAAGCAGUAAUGUAUUAUCCCCUCUUUUUUUUUUUUUUUUUUUCUUUUGUCAUGGUAAGGGGGUGCACUAUAGAGGCUUAGUUUGGUAUUUCUUUAAGGGAUAAUGUUUAUGGAAUGUGCUUUAAAAAGUUAAAAUUAUCAUAGCUUCCAUUCUGUUUUUUGCCCCCUUUUUUUUUUCCACUAAUUACUAAAUAAAUCGAUAUAUAUAUAUACAGUCCGUCUAUGGUGCGGACGGUUCUUAUGUGGACCACAAUAUUGGUGACGGUUUUUCAUAGUAUUGGUGAUGAUUUUCUAAAAAAUCGUCGUUAAUACUAUGAAAAACCGUCACUAAUACUGCGAUCCUCAUGCAGACCGUGCUCACCAUAUAAUUUCCGUAUAUAUAUAUAUAUAUAUAUAUGCAUAUGUUCAUUGAAUGGUGAAAUUGAAUAUUUAGCUAAAAUACUAUUUUAUGCCUGAAGCUUGUUAUUAUUAUUAUUAUUAUUAUCCUCUUGGGGUUAGCUAAAGCUUGUUUGGUUGAAUGAAUCAAUAUGCAUGUUUUUAUUUGAUCAUUCACGUGAAGAGAUAUGUCGUUCUGGGAAAAAUUUCUAAUACUCCCGGAGUAUCCACAGCUCAGAACUCCUUCCAUUCAAUAUUUAACAUGUCUAUUAUCUUGUCAGGUCAUAAACGGAUCUUUGUUACUCCGUAUGUACAUUUUUUACUUUUUUCCUGGUUUUGACGGCUAUCUCCUUCGCUAACACAACUUCUACAGUUUACCUACUCCAGGAAUUUUCAAACUCACAAAUCAAGCACCAAGAAGGGAAAAAAAAGUUACGAUUUUGGAAUUGCAGAGGUCUGAGUUGGGUAACGAAUUGAUAAAUAAAAAUUGACGAUUUUGUCAAGAAAAUGAUGCAACUCUAGUCUCAAUAUUUUCAGAAACCAAAUAUUCUUCUUUGAAUUUUUUUUUUUUUUUUGAAUUAUGAAAUUUUCAUAGUAGCAACAGUAAAGAAGGAAUUUUGCCCUUCAAGCUCAUUUCUUCUCUCUGUUCCACGCCUUCCUCUCUCCCUCUUUCUCUCCCUAUCAUUUCUGUCUCUGCUCUCCGCUUCUCUUGUAAUAUCAAACGAGUCCAUGCUUUGAAUCAUAAUUCUCUGUUGGUGUUGACGGCCAAAACCUUCUGGAUCUCUCUGCAGCACCAUGUCCAUGUAUGAAAGGAAUGAAAACCACCAUUUUGAGAGCACACCCAAAUCCCAUAGAGUCAAUUUUUUGCAGAGUGCAAAUCCAACCCAUCAAAGUAUAGAUGCCCAGGUUGUUCCAUACACUCCAGUAGUCUUCAAUGUGUCAAAACUCAUGAGCAAUCCCUUCUACUCCAGCAAUUCUCAAACUCACAACUCAAGCAUAGAUUUUGUCGAGAGGAAAAAAAGAACUAUGAUUAUGGAAUUGCAGAAGUCGAAAUGGGAUGAUAAUUUGAUCAGAUUGGGUCAUCAAAUUGACAAUUUUGUUAAGAAUAUGCUGCAACUCUAGUUUUCUAGUUUGCUCAGAUUACAAACAACCAUAUCACCCAUAAAUUAUUACACUUCAAAAUUUUUUUUCACCAAAGAAUCAUAAUCUUCAUUUCCAUAAUAGAAUAUCCAAAACCAUUUAACAUUUUCUUCACUCAUCUAUUUACAUACCCCAAAGGAAAAA